rnacentral:lncRNA from 1 species
CCACAUAUCAGAGCCCUAGACACUUUGAGCCACCACCUACUACUCAGGAUCACCUGCAAGUUACCCAUAGGAAGGGCAACGUUUUCAAGCAGAAGGGGUGAGAUUCUCAGUCAAUAAAAAUAAUAUAUAAUAACUUCAAUUGAAUCUAACACCCUACAAUAACAAUGAUUAUUCAAUAGGCAUAAGUAUUUCAUAAUCAACAACAAUCAUCCAGUUAUAGCAAUUCAAUCAACAAUAACAACUCAUGUAAUGACAUGACACCCCUCUAAGACUCCUCAAUAAAUGCAACUAUGCAUGUGGUACCGUAUUCGGGGCCGUGACCCACACCGCUGUCGAAUGGUUAAAGCAUUCUCAUCAGGACAUAAGUUCUCACCGCUCAACACCGCUUUGAACAACUAGUGUUCCACCGCUUUGAACGACAAGGCGUUCCAGAGCCGAAGCUCUCCCACUUUUAUGCUUAUGCAACUAACCCCCUUGUGUAUAUCUACAUACAACUCAACUAAUGCAUAUUUAUGUAUAUGACAUACAACUCCAUAAUUACAACGACUCCUCAAAACCAAUUCAACCAUUCCAGAAAAUAUUCAAUUAAUAAUAGCCAGACCAAUGCAUCAAAUUCAUUCAACAUCAUAUAUUUCACUUGGUUUCAUAACCCCUUCACUCCGAAAUUCAUUAAAACUAUACCAACUCACUUAACAAUGUGUUUAGUAGGAUUCAGGGUAUGUAUAUAAUGGUCUUACAAGUUGAAAGGAACAUUUAGAAGUACUCAAAAGGGCUCCUAGUGCACGAGGUAAAAUUCAAAGGUGGCUGACUAAGGUCCACUUCGCUUAAGCGACGGCUAGUUCGCUUAAGCGACCGGCUUACAGUAAGUCUGGGUUCAACUCACUUACGGUUCGCUCACGGUUCGCUUGAGCGAACUUCUGACAGAAUCAAAAUGGUUUUUCGCUCACCGGGUCGCUUACGGUUCGCUUAAGCAAAUCCUUGGCAGAAUCAAAUUUAAUUUUCGCUUACCAGUUCGCUCACUGUUUGCUUAAGCGAACGGGAAAAAUCGCAUUAUGGGCAGCUUGCUUGAAUGUUCGCUUAAGCGAUGGCUACUUCGCUUAAGCGACCAAUCAUCUGGGCAGUGCAAAAACCUACGAUUUCAGACCUCUUCUCACUCCAAAAACCCAAUUUUAAUCCCCUGAUCACCCAAAAUGUUUUCCAGCAGAUGUUUACAGGUCCUAUAUACAACUAGGCAUCUAAAGGAAACACAAAACAGCCAUCAACAACAAGAAAUACAGAUCAUUCCACCAUCAUACCAAUAUUCAUCAAUUUAUCCAAUCAAUCAUAUUUUCAAUCAGUUUAUGAUUCACAGCAACAGCAUAGAUUAAGUUUUCAUUCUGAACAUCACAUUACAACAGAAUUAACAUGAUCAUUACCCAUUUCCCUUCAGAAUCAUCAUCAAACCCUAACCCUCAAUUUAUCUUCCAAAAACUAUGCAAUUAGGUCAAUUUUCAGAAAUUAUAGAUUAUGAUUAUUGAGAGAUAGUCUCACCCUUACCUGGAUUUCAAUUGCACAAACAAAGCUACAGCAAAAUCGAUCCCCUCUUGCUCUUGUUCUCCCCUUGGCUUGGUUUUUCUCUCCCAAAACUUGUUUCACGUAAAACUGCUUCUAACCUUUUCUUUUCCUAACUCCCAAAACUAUAACUCCCCUUUUUUCAUUAAACUCCCUUAAUUUUUAUUAAAUCCUAAUUAACUCCCUAAUUUCUAAAAUAAUAUUAAUUUCCACUUAUUUUAAUUAUUAUAAUAAUAAACUAUAUAAUAAAAUGCACACACCACAUAAAUCACCAAAAAUCAUAUAAAAUCACGUAUGAGACUCCAAAUAAAUCAAAAUAAAAUAAAAUAACCACUAGGGCGUUACAAGGGUUUUCGCUUUCGAGUUUCUUGGAGGAACUGUUGUGAUUGGCUGGAUCAUUUUAGGAACUGAAGUGCUACUUUCUUGAUAUUCAGCAUCCAUGGUUUGUUUGGGAGCAAGAGAGGAGGUUUUGCUAGACAUGAUCGUUUGAUGAUGUUGGUGGUGAUUGAAGAAGAUGAAUGAACGAGAUAAUUGAGAUGAGUGAGAGGCAAAAAGAUGAGUGUUUUUGAACUUGAAAGGCGAAAAAAAGAAAGCAAUGAUAGGAGAGGAGUUAUUGCGUUUGUUUGCAGUUUCAAGUGGAUGUUGGUCAGAGAGCCUGAAUUAGCAUGCAAUAAUGAAUGUUUAGCUAUACUUCCUGACCUAUUUAAUUGCUUGGAUUGUUUCUCAUAAUACCAAGAGAAUUCAUUACUUUUCUCACAAUACCAACUAUCAGAGGUACUCCUCCUACUUUUCAAACCACCAAGGUGUAGAAGAUCAAGCUUCUUAGGAGUUACCUGAUGUUUCAACAUUGUUUUCAAUAUUCCAGUUUUCCCAUCAGUCUGAUCUUUUCUUUGAGAUGCCCACAAGUUGCCACUUUCCUUAGUUUUAACAACUCUUAAAGAAACUUCUCCUCUCUCAGGAUGUGUCACAACACAUUUACUUAAGGUCAAAUUGUUUGUUUCAGAGGCCAUCAUGUUUAAUUGCUUAGUAACAUGACUAAAUUGAGAGUUCAACAGAGUUACCUCAUUGUUGAGUUCAGAGAUUUUUGCUUGAUGACUGGCCUUUUGAAUCUCUACUCAAGUUGUAGGCAAGUAUCAAUGUUUCUGUCACUCGGGUUUUUAUGAAACAUAGCUAAAUCAUCAUAGCCCAAGUCUUCUUUAUAAGGUUUAAUGUAACAAAAAUUUGUGCUAGAUAACGCAGCAAUAUGAUUAGCAGAUUCUCCCUCCCCAUUUAGAUCAGAUUUAUCAUCCUCAGACCAAGAAGCAGUUAAGCUUUUCUUCUGUUUCUUAAGAAAAGUAGCACAUUCUGGUCUAAUAUGAUCAUAACCUUCACAUUCAUGACAUUGCACUCCUUUGUAUUGAGAGUUCAUUCCAUCAGGCCAUGCCAUCUUCUCUUUACUAGAUUGAUUGUCAAUGUUGGGUCUGAUGUUCUGAUAUCUUGACCUGGACCUUCUGUCAAAUCGUCCUAAGAUUUUUUUGAACUGUUUUCCCAAGAGUGCUAAUGACUCUUAAAUUUCCUCAUCAUCUUCAUAAUUUGCAUGUGCAUCAUCAGAAUCAACACUAGAUGCAAAAGUAAUACUCUUCCCUUUCUUGUCAAUCUUACUGUUAAUAGUUAUUUCAAAAUUUUGUAAAGAUCCUAUUAACUCAUCAACCUUUAAACUAGAUAUGUUCUGAGCCUCCUCAAUAGCAGUGACCUUCAUGUCAAAUGUCCUGGGUAGAGACCUAAGGAUCCUCCUCACAAGUUUUUCAUCAGAGAUUUUCUCUCCAAGAGAUUCAAAAGAAUAUGUAAUAUCUAACAUAUUCAAGUGGUAGUCCUGAAUGCUCUAAUCUUCCAACAUUUUCAUAUUCUCGAAUUCAGUAGUAAGAAGUUGGAUUUUAGCACUUUUUACCUUGGUAGUUCCUUCAUGUGCAGUUUUGAGAAUCUCCCAAGCAUCCUUAGCUACUGUACAAUGCUUGAUCAGUCUGAACAUGUUCUUGUCAACACCAUUGAAUAGGGCAUUCAAAGCUUUGGAGCUUCCAAGAGCCAAUUCAUCUUCAGCAACAGUCCAUUCUUCUUCUGUCUUUAACACAUCAGUCAUGUUACCAUCUUCAUCAAGUGCCACAGAAUGUUCCAAACCUUUCAGAACUGCUUUCCAUGUUCUGCUGUCAAUUGACUUAAGGAAAACACUCAUACGAGAUUUCCAAUAGUCAUAGUUAGAACCAUCCAAUAGAGGGGUUCUGUUCACAAAUCCACCUUCCUUGUCCAUAGCACUGGAAUAAAACUUCCCUAGAGCUCACCCUAAAACAAGCAGGGUGCCGGCUCUGAUGCCAAUUGAAAUUCUAGCACACUUGUUUUGAUAAGUUAUGUAUGAUGUUACGGCGUUUGAGAUGUUACGAUUAAUGUUUCAACAUCCGGCGUUAAACAGAAAUAAAAACAAGAAAAUAAAAGACAGGAAUGUAAAGAACACAAUGAGUUUGUUGACCCAGUUCGGUGAAAAACACACCUACUCUGGGGCUACCAAGCCAAGAAGGAAAUCCACUAGUGUAGUCCUUAUUCAAUAGCUCUCAGCAAACUCCUCAUUUACACUAUAUGACCUAGGAGCUACCUGUAUAGACUUCAACCUAGGAACUCCUAGAUCUGAGAUCCCAUCUCACUAUCCUAAUGGGCAGUAACUGCCCUAGUGACCUAUCAGACCUAAACCAAAACAAAGUAGAAGUUACCUUCCAACACAAACAACUAGCACCGUGUUUCACAACUUUGGUGUAGUACAAAGAGUAAUCAAUACUCACACACAGUCCUAACAAGUAUCACAAAACGAUACAAGAAAGAACACACAGUAGAUUCUAAACUUGCAUCACAAACGAUACAAGAGACGAAUACAUGAAGACUCAAACCCUAAAAAUCUAAACUUUUUAGUAUGACGGCUUGAAUGAACAAUUAGGUCUUGAAGUCUUCCUUAUAUACUGAAGCAGCUUGGGCUAAAUAAUAUGUUGGGUUUCAGUAACAAUGUAGAUCAGUUCAGCUUAAUCUGCAAAACAAGAAUCAGAAACAAAUUUGAAAAGUCCUAAAAUGUCGGAAUAUUUAUAGGAUCGUUCCAAACAAUAUUAAAUAUUUCCUAAAAUAUAAAAUACACUUUAGAAAUAUUCCACAGCUGAUUCUUAGAUGAUAUGCGCGUUGCUUGAUCAAUAAAUUAAGGAAAUAUUGUUUCCUUAAACAAUAAAGGAUGCGCAUACAAACAGGCGAGAACUCAGGCACACUGAACCGUGCCAGGAUGUUGAAGCAUCGCAUCCAACAUCUUCCAGAGACGCCUAAACACAUGUUGAAACUUUGGUUCCAACUUAGAAAACAAGGAUAUUUGUUUUUGCAACAAUGCAGCCAAUACAAAUACCCAACACUAAUGAUCAUGGAUAGUUUAACACAAUUAAGGAUGGACUUGUUUCAAUUGUAAAAAAUAUGUUUGAAAACAAAAGGUUUUAGAACAUUGAGAAGAAAUUCUCAAACGAGAUUGUCAAGAGCCUUCCUCAUGGUAAUCUUAAGAGCUAAGUUUCCUCUAAGUAUUUUCUUGUCAAGAAAAUUUAUUUCCUCUAAAAUGAGUUUGUUAUUUGUAUAUUUUAUUUUAAUAUAUGUAUUGGUAGAAUUUAAUCUCAUCUUUUGUUUCAGAUAAACUUUUUACAAAUAGGAAUUGCCAUCCUAAUUUCCUUUAUAAAUGAUUUAUUCUUAAGUUUCAACUGUCUCCUCUCAAGUUUUGAAGUUAUUUUUUAAUCACUAGUUUGCUAUUUAUAAAUGAUAUAUUCCAUGUAAUGCCUUUGCACUCUAAUUUUUUCAAAAAUAUAAAAAUACUUGUGGUUU